CGGUGGAGCAUGUAGUUAUCGAAGACAACGCGAAGAACCCUUACCGACGGUCCUUGACAUGCGUAGGGAACCCGGGUGAAAGCCUGGGUGCCCCGCGAGGGGAGCCCUAGCACAGGUGCUGCAUGGCCGUCGCCAGCUCGUGCCGUGAGGUGUUGGGUUAAGUCCCGCAACGAGCGCAACCCCCGCCGUUAGUUGCCAGCGGUUCGGCCGGGCACUCUAACGGGACUGCCCGCGAAAGCGGGAGGAAGGAGGGGACGACGUCUGGUCAGCAUGGUCCUUACGGCCUGGGCGACACACGUGCUACAAUGCCCACUACAAAGCGAGGCCACCCGGCAACGGGGAGCUAAUCGCAAAAAGGUGGGCCCAGUUCGGAUUGGGGUCUGCAACCCGACCCCAUGAAGCCGGAAUCGCUAGUAAUCGCGGAUCAGCCAUGCCGCGGUGAAUACGUUCCCGGGCCUU
rnacentral:rRNA from 1 species